CAAAACAAAGUAGAAGACAAAUUACGCCGCUCUCUCAGUGGCUUAAUCAAUUUAUGGCGGUGCGGGUUAAACCGCGUAGUUAAUUCCCUCGUGCGCGGACGUCUGCGAACGAGGAAACGCGUCGUUAGCAGAGCGUUCUUUAAAUUACGUGCAGAAUACGAUUCGGUCGGGUCGAGCAAUUGUUGCAAUUGAUCCUUGUGCAGAGGUUAUCGAAACGAUUAAACGACCAUGUUACUAUAAUCGUCUGUAUGGCGCAUCGUGCAGUGUGUAAUAAAUAAGUAACGUCGUUAUCUAAAAGUGUCUGAUUAAGACCAUUACGGUCAAGGAUUUUAAAUCAAUAAAAGAAGCAGACACGAUUAAGCGCGAGAUUAAUAUAGAUAUGCAUCUCGCUGCAAGCUAGAUUUAUACAUAAUUGUAAUGCGAUUUCAUGUAAAGAGAGAUUUGACAUAAAAAUUUUUAUUUUAGAAUUACCUAUAGAAUUUAAUUUAGAAUUACUAAUAAUUUAGAAAGCCCUACUUAGCUUGUUAAAAACUGCAAGACUAAAGGUACCUCUCCUACCUAAACAAUAAUUUUUGCCGAGAAAAAAUCGGCUCCGAGUUGAUCCGAGAAUUCAUAGACGAAAGGUAGUUCAUUCACGUCCAUUCCCUAGUAUGCCUCGUGUAAUAACGGCUACACGCAUACGCGGCCUGAUGGGCCCGGUCAUGACGUCACGGACGGGGAGCCUUCGACCUCGUGUCGCGUACAUAUCGCUGACACUUGGGUUACUUCAGCUCGUCUCGCACUUGACACGGCCCAUUAUCAUCCACCGGCGUAUCCAUCUAUUAUCUAGCCGCGACUAUCCAUCCAUUAUACCCCGUACGGUCAGCGCGUCCCCGAAGCACCGCGUCUCGCAGCCGUUCAAUUAAUUCCCCGAGCAGUAUGUUAUAGUUCGCCCGUUCGCUGGAGAUGAGACUGGGCGUCGUGACGCGAGUUUCGUGACGCGAGUUUCGGGACGCUCGUCUCAAAUGUAGAAGCCGGAAGGGCGUGGUGACCAUUCGUUAAUGUUGAAAAAAGAAUCGGGAGUUGAAUCUUGCGAAAAUUGCUGUUUGCGCGUCGCGGGGUGCGUUGCAACGUGCAGGAAGUUGGCGCGAGAAACCUGUGGUCCCGGCCAAAUAUUUAAAGCCGACGGGGUAGGCCGCGGGAGAAAUAUUUGUUUUCCGAUACGAGAGCAACCAGUUCGCGCGCUCUCUCUCUCUCUCGCUCGCUCGUGUGUAUGCGCGACGCUGGUAUUUUACGACUUCGAGCGCCGUGCAUCCGACCCGCGAGAAUGGACGGUGGACGGCAAAUAACACAGCAAAAAGCGAACGUUUGGGAGCGGAGACGCUGUUUUCAGACUGGAUAACACGCGCGCGAGUGUCUGGGAUCCUUUACGUUCCAGGCGCGUUUAGCGUAGGGUGGAUAAGUAGAUAGGCGCAUCAGUAGUCCUCCACGUGCGCGCGCGCAUACUGCCGAGUGCUGCAAAAGUUCUGAAGAAGCUCCUAAGACGCAAAGUUCGAAGGCGAUCGUUCGCUGCAACGAUAACGGAUAUUGGAUUAAGUCGCUGAUGAGUUCCUGCUGGUUCCCUCUCGCUGUGUUCUUUUUACACGAACAUGUAAAUACUUGAGCAGUCGUCUUGCAGUCGUCUUGAGAGUCGUCGAACGGUUAGUCGUACGUGCUACAUAGGAUUUAACUGAUCUUGCAAUUUCUGCGACAGAUUCGUGGCACCGCACCGGUUCGAGCAAAGCAGGAUCGGCUCGAAGAUAAGUUCACAAAUUUAUUUUAUACCUGUAUAUUUCUUUGCAGAUUUGCGGAGUCCUGUAGGAAUUACGAACAAACCGAUCUAGUAAUAUUUAGUUAUGAUAGAUGGCAGGAGUUUUCCUAUUGAUGUGAUAUCGAUUGAUUGAAUUGAUUCCGUUAUACUUUUGUUUUCUCGAUGCGCGGUCGACGAUGGAAGAAUCCACCCAGUCGAGUAGAAGUUCCUCGGCGUAGAGAGUUAUCUUUUAAGUUGUCCUUACGUUAUGUAUAUUUGACAAAUAUAUAUUAUAAAUUGUAAACUUAUCUGUAUUCUCUCGUAAUAUCAUCCAUCAAGUCUAAAAUGUACUCAUUAAAUUAAUUCAAGUCGCGACGUAACACUGCAAAGAUUUAACAUUUUAUAUAUGUAUUUAUUUAUGAAAUGUAUUUCUGAAAAUCGGCUUUAUUUUUUAAUCGGCUUUUAAUCAUUUUUGUUUCAGAGUAGCAGAAUGCAGUCGCUCCUAAAACGCAACUGCUCGAAUUCAUGGAGGGAACAUAUCUUCACGCCAAGAAAUCGGUUGGGCUACACGAGCACUGCCUUGGGUGCUCAGACGUUGAUGGAAGUUUCUCCUUACAAGGCGAGAGGGAGAUCCUUUUUCUUCUCAAAGUAUCACCUCGAGGAUCGGACGCGGGGCUCGUUCCCCUUCAUCGGAGCGGACGAGAAGUGGCCGCAGGGGUGAAAUCGGAACGCGUGCGUAAGAGCGAUCGCGCCGGGAAAUUAGCGAAAACGGCGCACGAGCUACUCUCACCGAGACCGAGAGUGAACAGGAUACGACUCAAGAGAGAAAGAGAGUAUAUAUGUGUGUGUGUAAGGGGCGUUCUGACGAGAGUCCAGAUUUGUCCCCGGGGGGUGCUCACGAAGGGGCAAAUUUCGACCGUCCGUUAACUCCGUUCGCCCCGUUGCGAUAUUCCGAAUCUCCCGCUACCACGCCCGAGAACAUGGAGCGUCCAGAGCCGUGAUUUCGAUAGACUGGGAAGAGCGAUGGACGAUUACGUGAUCGGAUUACUUGGAUGCUCGACUCGCCACCUCGUCGACCGAGGUACACGACCGGAAAGUACAUCGUGAGGACGAAGUCGAACGUCACCGUCGCCGUCAUGGUGCGACGUGCCGCGGAAACGAGAACAGCACAAACGGAUACGUUAAAAGAGAUGUAUGAUACAAAGGUACGCUCAAAAAACGAACAGAGACGUCGAAAUUCAUGUCGGUAAAAUAUUUUAUACUACUUUUUUUAAAUGUCAGGAGAAAGGAGAUUUUUGGAGAUCAGAGAGUCAGUCUUUUCUUCGCUCGCAUUUCCUUUAUUUUAUACAUAUACUAUACAUAUUUAUUCAAUAUAUUAUAUAUUCGUUUCUUUUUACGUCACCCAAGAAAAGAUGAAAAAUCCUACAUACGAGGUAUUCCAGUUUUUCGGCGGAAUAACUAGAACUAUGGAAGAUCAUGGAAACACAUGCAUAGAGAAGAGCCAUAAUUCUAAGGCGAUUAUCACAACGGAUUAUCUCGGCGUCUUGGUAGCGCUAAUCGCGACAAAUCUGUCGCCGGUCCGGCAUUCCUUCCCUCCUACCGACUCCACUUCCGCGAGAUUAUUAUCUCAUUCCGUUAGUUGGCGGCACCUCAUUAUCGCCGGAAAUAAAUCUGUCAUCCUCGCUUAAUCGAGCGUCUCCGUCGAAUUUCGACUGUCGACUACCUGUUCCACCAGCUAUACAGACGAUCACCCUUCUAUCCCCAGGUUUUUUUUCAGAAAAAGCAGUUUUUAUCGAGGAUAAAUUACGAGAUGAAAGAUUCAUAUAUUUUCUUUUGCUAUUAUUGGAGGGAUAUUCUAUUGGAAAACAUGUUUUUAUUUUGAUGAGAAUAAAAUGCAAAUUCAAUUUCAAAAUCGAUAUGUUACCAUUUCUAUUAUCGAUAAUAUUUGUCUAGCAGUUAAUUACUUGAUCGAUAUUACAGUUGUUAGCGUUUUUAUCAUGAAUUACCUAUAACUGGUGCUUUUGUUGAACAUACGCAGCCGUACGCAUUUCAUAAAUAAUAAUGUUUCUCCUCAUAUUGAAUUCCUUCAUAAAUUAUUUUGCAUAAACCGAUAGCUCGCACCGUCAUGCUUCUCGUGGAAUAUCGGCGUAUAUUUUUUCUGCAGUUUUAAUACCUUAGCCACCAAAAUUUUCUGUAAAAAGCUCGCAACCUCUCGGUAACGUCCUUCGCUUCUAUUCAAGUAAUCGUGAAAUUUUCGCCAAAUUUAUGUCGCGAAUUCUUUUGAGAAACACGUGCUCUAUACGUGAUCAGUCAAAUAACGCAAUAUCGUAGCCACGUGUAGGCGUAUUUGUAAACACGAACGAUGGGUAACAUACGACGCUCGUAAAUUUAUCAGAGCGUUUGUGCCAUAAAUUUUCAGAGUAAACGCGGUCCAUCAUCCCGAUCUGCCUUGCGCGGGCACUUGUGGUAGGAAUUCGCACCUACUGAUUGGACGGAAACUCGGGAGACAAACUGCCAUGACGGUGAUCAAGGGGUUCUCGGGAUGUUACCAUCGAAUGUGUUUAUUGUCUUAACAUCGUUAUUAAUUUGUGUCAACACGUGCAAUGGCUAUUUUGCAGUAAUUGACUAUAUUUCAAGAGAAUAUCAUCAUUAGACAAUGCACAAAUAAAUAUAUGUUUCUAUAAAGCGUAUUUUCGAUAAUUGGCCACAUUAUAAUCAAUUGCCUAAAAAUAUAAGAAAUUUUUAAUUUAAA